GAAGAAUCUCAGCACUGACCUGUCAGUGUUCCCUCUGGCCUCCAAAGUCCAGGAGAUCAGUCACACUGUCUUUGAGCUUGAGUUGAGGCCAAUGCUCAUUUUAUUCCUACUCCAUGGAGACUGUUGUCAGUGAAAGGCUAAUAGGGGACACACACAGUGCAGCUCUGGACCCUGGGACUUGGAAAGACUUCCUGAGCAAACUUGCUAUGUGAACCCACCUGACUCACUUCCUGCUCAGCUCCUCUAAGAAGGGCAAUCCAUCUGGUAGUCUGCUUGGCAGAGUUAUGGUGAUCUUCAUCUUUCAGAGUUCCUCUUUCUACAGCUCACCAGUGAGAGAAUGAUGGAGUGGAAGCCAUAGGAACUACAGGUACCCUACUGGGAAGAGGGAUGAGUUCUGCUGGGGAGCCUCCUCUUGCUACAGAUGGCCCUACUGUGAGACUAUUCUAGCACUGAGGCAAACUAAGCAGCCUACCUCUUCCUGUGAACUCGGAAGGAAAAUCAAUGAUAAGACCUCUGAGAUAUUGUAUUGGCAGGCCUACCCCAUCAUCCUGGCUUCCCCACUAGAAGUUCAAACGGCCCACUACUUGUGUCAGAGACUGAGAGGAGAGAGAGAGGCUGGGCUGCCCCAGGACCUGGAAGCAGCUCUCAUGGAGCCAGUCUGCAGCAGCCAACAAGCCAGCCAGAGGGCCAGUGAGCAGAGACUCAGCUCAAGAAGGAAACACCAUAUAAGAAGCCCUCAUUUUGUAUCUGACAAUCACCAAAGACUUUUCUAUUAGAUGGAGUGUGUGCUUAUGCCAUUUAUGUUUUGCUGCAUUAUUUUUCUGCUUGUAGAAGUUCUAGGACAGUCUCCUUAUCUGAAUUUAAAAUAAACCUUAUUUUGCCUUUCCUUGUCCAUUUCUGUUAUCUAUUUUUGGGCUGUUUUCUGAAAUGAGACUUACGGCAAAUAGGGAUGUCUUUAACCUUUUUAUAAUAUAGUUGUUUUUAAAUGCUAGGGCUUAUUUGAAAGAGGUGUUUACCAAACGGGCAAAGUUCAGCUUACUUGUCUGGCUGGCUUAGAAUGGUAAAUUAUGGGGAAAGGCACACAGUGUAGCUGAUGCCCGAAAAAAACUGCAUCUCCACAGAGUGCUUGGAAGAAAAGCACAAAAUGAAUGAGUGCCACAAAAUAAUUGCACAACAUCUCAGAAACCUUCAUCUCCACAGCUUGAUGAGCUAUUUGCAUCUCUUCAUUGAAUCUUUUUUUUUUUUCCCUUCCUUUGGAAUCUUAGAGGCUGUUUAAUCUCAAGUGAGCUCAAUUCACAUUUUCCUAGCAGUAUUAGCUAUCAGCACAAAGCACUUCACCCAUUGCAUCACACUGCCAGUCAGCAAGCAGGGACCUAAUUAGCUCUUUGCUUUAAUGGCAAUAGUUAAAUUUACAUUAUUAAUUUAAAUAUCACGGACUCUGUGGACUUGAGCACAUAGCUGACAUAAAGAUGUAAAAUGAAUAAUAAGAUACUGAAAAAUACGAGUCAUUAUUCCCAUCAUGUUCAAACUUUUAGCUAUAAUGAUAUCAAUUAAAAUUCUAAUCCUAGCAAAAAGCUUUGCUGGUUCUUUUGUUAUAAAAGCUAUAGUUGUACUUAAGUGGGGG
ensembl:lncRNA